UAGGUGUGAUCUCUAUAGCAUGUUCACAUA
rnacentral:piRNA from 1 species